UGAGAGGGUGACCGGCCACACUGGGACUGAGACACGGCCCAGACUCCUACGGGAGGCAGCAGUGGGGAAUAUUGCACAAUGGGCGCAAGCCUGAUGCAGCAACGCCGCGUGAGGGACGACGGCCUUCGGGUUGUAAACCUCUUUUAGUAGGGAAGAAGCGAAAGUGACGGUACCUGCAGAAAAAGCACCGGCUAACUACGUGCCAGCAGCCGCGGUAAUACGUAGGGUGCAAGCGUUGUCCGGAAUUAUUGGGCGUAAAGAGCUCGUAGGCGGUCUGUCGCGUCUGCUGUGAAAACCCGAGGCUCAACCUCGGGCCUGCAGUGGGUACGGGCAGACUAGAGUGCGGUAGGGGAGAUUGGAAUUCCUGGUGUAGCGGUGGAAUGCGCAGAUAUCAGGAGGAACACCGAUGGCGAAGGCAGAUCUCUGGGCCGUAACUGACGCUGAGGAGCGAAAGCGUGGGGAGCGAACAGGAUUAGAUACCCUGGUAGUCCACGCCGUAAACGUUGGGCGCUAGAUGUGGGGAC
rnacentral:rRNA from 1 species